rnacentral:rRNA from 1 species
CCAUACUCCUACGUUAGGCAGCAUUCUUUAAUAUUGCACACUUGAGGAAACUCUUAUUCAGUGACCCCUCUUAUAGGAAUAAUUUUUUCGGAUUUUCCCCUAUUUUAUACCUUUAAGAAAACCUCCCUUACCUGUCUCCUCCGCUCCGGCUCCCUCCGUGCCAUCCUCCUCGGUAAUCCUUCUUGAGCAAGCUUUCUCCGGAAUUCCUCGUUGUAAAGGGCUCUUAGACGGCGAGGCAAGCCAGAUGUGAAAGCCCGGGUGGAAACCCCGGGACUGCAUUUGGAACUGUGUGGCUGGAGUGUCGGAGAGAGAGGCGGAAGUCAUAGUGUAGCGG